rnacentral:rRNA from 1 species
GCAACGAGCGCAACCCUCGCCCUUAGUUGCCAGCAUUAGUUGGGCGACUCUAAGGGGACUGCCGGUGAUAAGCCGAGAGGAAGGUGGGGAUGACGUCAAGUCCUCAUGGCCCUUACGGGCUGGGCUACACACGUGCUACAAUGGUGGUGACAGUGGGCAGCGAGCACGCGAGUGUGAGCUAAUCUCCAAAAGCCAUCUCAGUUCGGAUUGCACUCUGCAACUCGAGUGCAUGAAGUUGGAAUCGCUAGUAAUCGCGGAUCAGCAUGCCGCGGUGAAUACGUUCCCGGGCCUU